UACGUAGGGUGCAAGCGUUAAUCGGAAUUACUGGGCGUAAAGCGUGCGCAGGCGGUGAUGUAAGUCAGAUGUGAAAUCCCCGGGCUCAACCUGGGAACUGCAUUUGUGACUGCAUCGCUAGAGUACGGCAGAGGGGGAUGGAAUUCCGCGUGUAGCAGUGAAAUGCGUAGAUAUGCGGAGGAACACCGAUGGCGAAGGCAAUCCCCUGGGCCUGUACUGACGCUCAUGCACGAAAGCGUGGGGAGCAAACAGG
rnacentral:rRNA from 1 species